UGGGGAAUAUUGGACAAUGGGGGCAACCCUGAUCCAGCCAUGCCGCGUGAGUGAUGAAGGCCUUCGGGUUGUAAAGCUCUUUUGGCGGGGACGAUGAUGACGGUACCCGCAGAAUAAGCCCCGGCUAACUUCGUGCCAGCAGCCGCGGUAAGACGAAGGGGGCAAGCGUUGUUCGGAAUUACUGGGCGUAAAGGGCGCGUAGGCGGUUUGCUUAGUCAGGCGUGAAAGCCCUGGGCUUAACCUGGGAUGUGCGCUUGAUACUGGCAGGCUUGAGUGUGGGAGAGGUUGGUGGAAUUCCUAGUGUAGAGGUGAAAUUCGUAGAUAUUGGGAAGAACACCGGUGGCGAAGGCGGCCAACUGGACCACAACUGACGCUGAGGCGCGAAAGCGUGGGGAGCAAACA
rnacentral:rRNA from 1 species